UGUGAUUGCUCUAGCCUGUAAAACAUGAGCAGAAGAGGCAUGAAGCACUUGGUGAGUGCUUCUAAGAGCUGAUGCAGAAUUUCCCACAUUCCCUUCUUCCUGCCCUGAUGCCUGGCAAUGCUCCAGAUGGCAGAGGCUCUGUCAGCCAAUAUCUUUGAAAGAGGAUGAUGGGGAGAAGAGACUCCCACCAAACCAGGGUCAGCUUGUGGUACGAGGCUUUGCCCCUUGCCCUGAUCAUGCCCAUCACUUGGCCACUGAGAGCUGGGUUGGUUUGUUCCUGCAGUGCAACCUAACUCACCCUAAGAAGCCAGCAAGGCAAUGCCAGUGCAGAGGAGAAAAGCAGAAUCCUGAGACACAAGAUGAUAAGGAGCGGAGGGUCUGCAGAAGGGCUGGUCUAGAUGCAUGUGAGGAGCAAGUUCAAGUCAGACUCAAUGUCAUUUCACCAUGAUUGGGGCAGAGUGGCACCGGGCCUGGUGGGAUCAGAAGGCAGGACACGGCGGACAGCUGGAUUGCCCCUUUCUAAAUCCAGCUUUCUUCAUCCAGGAAGCCUUCUCUGACCCUCCCACCCAUAGGGCCCUCUCCUACCCUGAACUCCUCCAGAAUUCUGUCUGCUGAAAGAAGGCAUGUGGAGUGUGAGAAGACAGCAGGGCUCUGAAGUCAGACCGAUGUGGUUUAAAUAUUGGUUUCUUGUGUUCAAUCAUCUGACCAUUAAUUCAACAUCUGUAGCAUGCCAGGCACUGUUCUACAUCCUGGAAAUGUGUUCAUGUUCAAGAGCUGGGUGUUCUUGGAUCCUGUAUGCAAAUGAGGGAGAGAGAGACAGUCAAUAACAACAAUAACAAAGCCAAACAUGCAAAAAGAAAAAAAGUUGUGAUGUUGGAAAUUAAGAAAAUAACCAAGGGGCUGAGAUAAAGAAUACCAAAAGGACCUACUUUAGAUGAGGUUAAUGAAUGACUUCCUCUUUGAAUGGGCAGCAUUUAAAAUUGCAAUGUACAAGGAGGAAGAAUAGUUACUAUAUAAAUAAAACAGAGGAGCAUUCUUGGCAAGAGAAAAACGACAGGUACAAGACCGUUAAGUGGGAAAGGUAGGAAAGGGCUUGGGUGGGGCAAGGUUGGAACUGAAGGAAGAGGAGUGUCUCUGGAGAGUACCCUGAGGUAAGGGUGGAGGGUAGAGCUGUGCUUUCCAGGCUAUUUUAGGAGAUAGAUUCAAGGUGCAUUUUAUAGCACAAACCAGCAAGACUUACUGAUGGUUUAGGUAAAGGGAGAAGAGGACCCAUUCAAGAAGAGAGAGUCAAGUCACCUGGGGUGGGGAUACCGUGCCCUUUACAGGAAUGGCAAAGGUGGAGUUGGGAGGAUGGAAAGUCUGCUCUGAAUGUGCUAGUUUGGAGAUAUCUGAGAUCUCCAAGUGGAAAUGUCAGCAGGCAAUAGAAUCUGCAAGUCAGAAGGAAGCUCAAAGAAGUCCAGGUUGGGGAUAUAGAUUUAGAAUGAUCGGCAUAAGAAUAGUAUUUAAAUCCAUGGAAUUUCACGAACUCACCUGUGAAGUGAAGAAAGAGGACCCAAGAGGGCCUAAGGGAGACCAAGGAGGAGUCAGAAAAAGGAGGAGGACCUGCAAAGGAGGACCAGCCAGUGAAGAACGAGGAGAGCCUGGAGAGCAGAAUGUGGUAGAAACAGAGAGGCAAGAGUUUGCAGAAAAAGGGGUCAAUAUUGUCACAGGACUAAGAUGAAGUCCAAGAGUGGGGCUGGGCCUGGCCAGUUGGAGUCAUUGGUGACCUUGACCAAGCAGUCUCAGUACUGGGGAGCAGAGCUAGCCUUCAGUGGGUCCAGGAGUGCAUGGGAGUUAAGAGAUGGAGACUGCAAACAAAUUAUAUUCUUUGGAGAAAUCUGACUCUAAAAGAAAAUAGAGGGAUUGGGAAGUAGUUGUCAACGGGAGGGGCUGGAGAUAGAUGAACUGCAGGUGGGAGGAGCAUGUCUGGGUGCUGAUUGGACUUGCCUAGAAAAACCAAGAGACUAGUGAGAGAGCCAGAGAGGGACAAUGAGAGCAAUAAGUUCCCAAGGAGCUGGAGAGGAUGAAUUCAGAGCACAGGUGGAGGGACUUUCUCCAUCAGCACAGGAAGAAGCAGAAGAGAGAAGCAGCCAGGAUGGGUCCUAGUCUGGUAUUGGGAAGAUGAGAGUUGAGUGAAGUAAUGAAGGGGAAGGGUCCCUUGGAACCAGAGGGAGAGAGCAGGGUGGAAGGGAAGGUGAGAGGAAAAAGAGAAGUAAAAUUGUCAUCUGGGAGUGGGCAGUGGCCUACUAGAGAGAGUGGUGGGGUUGCCUGGCAGUCUUGAGGGCAAGUGCAUGGGCCAAGAUCAUGAAUUUAGAGCAAAAUCAGCCAGCCCUAUUGUGUGAUUAUCUCCAAGAACAGGCAACUGCUCUGGAGCAGGCGUGGAGACAGCGGAUGGGAGGUUUCAUUCAGGGUUGGGACUUUGCCAAGGGGCUGUGACAAAGGAUAGAAAGGCAGAGUUGCUGAGAAAAUUCACACUGGAAUAAUGAUGAGGAACCAUGUAGCAGAGGCUGGACAAAGAAGGAAGGAAGAGGAGCUGGGAAGGAGGCUCAAGAGGGAGGAGGGGGAGUCACUGCAUUGAAAUUCUCAAGGAAGCCAAGAAACUGAGGCAGUGGAGAAUCUUGACCUGCAGGGCUGGGAGGAUUGGGAGAGGUGUUUGGAAUCCAGAUUUGAGGAUGGGAUGGUACAGGUGUGACUGCAGGAAUGGGCACCUGAGGAGCCCAGGAGGGAGUGGCCUCUAUGGUGCUGCAUGGUCUGUCUGACUGGAUGUGAAUGCUACCAGGGAUGAUGAUGACAUCAGGAGGUGGAGGUGAAGACUCUGACCAGGAGGUGACAAUGCUGCCUUUGACCAGCUCUAUGAGCCAGGCAAGUCACCCUGUGGCCACAGCAGGCUCUGGAGCACCCCUGCCCAGGUUCUGCCACUUUCUAGAUGUGUGACUAUGGAGGCUUACUUCCCCUCUCUGCACUUUGAUAUCUUUACUUGUAAAAAUGGGGGAAUAAUUUACACAUGCCUCUUAAAGUUGUUUGAAGACUAAUGGAAAUAAUUCAGGCAAAGCACCCAAAACAGUGCCAUAAGUGUUAAAUGUCUCCUUUUGUAGUGAGUUAAACUGUGGCACCCUGAAAGACUGCCCCACAUCCAACACCCUGAACCUAUAAAUGUGACAUUUUGGGGGUUAAGGAUUUUUUUUUUUUUCAUAUAGAGUCUCACUUUGUCCCCCAGGCUAGAGUCUAGUGGUGCGAUCUUAGCUCAUUGCAACCUCCACCUCCUGGGUUGAAGUGAUUCCUGUGCUUCAGCCUCCUGAGUAGCUGGGAUUACAGUCAUGCACCAUCACACUCAGCGAAUUUUUGUCGUUUUAGUAGAGAUGGGGUUUCACCAUGUUGGCCAGGCUGGUCUCGAACUUCUGACCUCAAGUGAUCCACCCACCUCGGCCUCCCCAAGUGCUGGGUUAAGGAUCUUAAGGUGACAUCAUCUUGGAUUGUCUUAGUGGGCUUAAAUUCAAUGACAAGUGUCCUUGUAAGAAACAGGAGAGGACACAGAAACAAAAUGACCCCAUACACACUCGUGCAAACACACGCCACAGGAGAGAAUGCCAUGGGAGAAUGGAGGAAGAGAUUGGAGUGAUGCAGCCACAAGCCAAGGAAUUCCUGGACCCACCAGAAGCUGGAAGUGGCAAAGAAGGACUUGCCACAAAGCAGCCUUUGGAGUGAGUAUGGCCUGCCAACACCUUGACUGUGAAUUUCAAGUCUCUAAAACUGUGAGCAAAUAAAUUUUUGUCGUCUUAAGCCA